rnacentral:rRNA from 1 species
GAUGAACGCUGGCGGCGUGCCUAAUACAUGCAAGUCGAGCGAAAAGACGAGGAGCUUGCUCCUUUGACGUUAGCGGCGGACGGGUGAGUAACAAGUGGAUAACAUACUUAUUAGACUGGGAUAAAUUCGGGGAAAAGGAGCUAAUAAUGGCUAAAAUGUCGAACCGGAUGGUUAAACAGUGAUAGACGGUUUUGCCGUCACAAAUAGCUGGAUCCGCGUCGCAUUAGCUAGUUGGUAAGGUAACGGCUUACCAAGGAAACGAUGCGUAGCGGACCUGAGAGGAUGAUCAGCCACACUGGAACUGAGACACGGUCCAGACUCCUACGGGAGGCAGCAGUGGGGAAUCUUCGGCAAUGGGCGAAAGCCUGACGGAGCAACACCGCGUGGGUGAUGAAGGUCUUCGGGUCGUAAAGCUCUGUUAUUGGGAAAGAACAACUGUAGAUUAAUCCAUGCCCGUCUUGACGGUACCUAAUCAGAAAGCCACGGCUAACUUCGUG